UUUGCAUAUUAUAGCAAGUUGCUGAGUCGUUGAAUCCUUCAAACAUGGCAACUGAAAUAUCACUCUUAUCAUACUGAAAGCGACGUUAGUGGACAUGCAUUUAAGUCAAAGUCUAACCAAUUAGACAGUGGAGAGAAAGGUCAUAUCCUUUUCAAAGAACAAAAGAAAACUACAUCAAUAUAUAAAACCACAUCAACCAAAGAAGAUCCAUCUUUCUAUAUUCAUUUGUGUAUUUAUUAACAACAUGUCCAUAAGAAAAUCGUUUUUUGCUAAUGUUUUUCUCUUUGCUACAUUCAUAACAAGCUGUGUUGCCCAGAGUAAUACUACUACUACUACUCUAUGUGUUCCUUUUUACUGCAAAGGUGAUCUAUUAAUAGAUGUUGUUAUGGUGAUAAAAUAUCUUGUGGGAGUCGUAAUCUUGAUUGCAGUAGUGGUGUGGCAGUACAAAAGACGGAAUAUGAACACAUGGAAUGAUGGUUUGGAGAAUAAUAGAGCUUCCUCCAAUGAACAAAACUGUUAGGAUUGUUGCAAAGCACAUACAGACCACAUGAUAUUAGACCGGAGGGUGUGGAGGUCACGAAUUAAAGUAGAAUUUUAGUAGGUAGUGAAAUAUUGUCUUGCUUUUAGAGGACUUAGGUUGGUUUCUGUUGGUGUUGUAUCAGCCGCACUAUUGUAGUUCUUGUUUUUUAAUAUUUAUCAUUAUUUUUGUUUAUUA